AUGGGUUCUCUGCCGGACCUUGCUUUCGCCUUCGCUCGAUUUGUGGCCAGGGAACACCCGCGCUUCCGUUUUCCUCACCGGACUUUUGGUCCGGCUGCUACUCGUCGCCGGAACUUCGGCCACCGCCGUCAGCGUCGCCUGAACAGGAAUGGCGGCCUCCGCCGCCGCAAUGCACCAUAUCGUGCUCCUCUUCGUCGCUACGGUUCUGGUGGUGGCCUCCUUCGCCGCCACGCCAAUCGCCAACGCCUUCACUGUGGUCAUCGCCGGGUGCACCGCAGCAACUCCCCUGGAGCGCCAGGACCGAGUACCAGGGCGGAUGCGCCCAAGGAAGACGUCCUGUUCAUGCCCCAAGAGGCUGCUGCCGCACCAAACGCCGUCGACGAACAGGUUGCUGCAGGGGUCGGGAUCGAGUACGAGGAUGAGGCCUCUGCAUCCAACAUCACCACGGAUGCCGCGGAACUGCCGCCUCCUCCGCCGGUGUACGCGCCCAUGGAGUGGAUGCUUGCCGGACCAAGCGCCGGAUGGCUCGUCGAUGACCCAGAUCGCUACUUCUCCGACGAGGAACUCGCGGCGCCACCUCCGCUGAUGUAUUCAUGCCCAGGCUACGGCUACGGGUCGAGGCUCCCGUCCCCGACGCCAUCCGACAAGGACCCGGAGCACUUCAACCCGCCGGGCUACGAUCCACUGCCGGAGUUCUCCUCCCCGCCGGCUGCAGUCCCUCUGGACGCGCUCAAGCCCCGGCUCGUCAUCAACCUCCUGCCGAAGGUGAAGACGGAGGAGAUCGAGGCCGCUGUGCCGACGGUCGCUCUCCCAGCGUUCCCCGACCUCAACCUCCCAACGCGAGAUGUGGAGGAGGAAGAACACCAGGAAGCAGCGCCGCCGUCAGCACUCCCGACACCCUCGCCAGAAGCCCGAGUGCUACUCCGCCGCUUUGCAUCCGCCAUGGCUGCUCGCCCCACUGGAAUCCGCGUGGGCACCUGGUCGCCCGAGGCACUCGGUCUCACUGGUCGCGUCGCGGAUCCCCGCCCCCACGAGGCCGCCCCUCAACUCCCCUCCUCCUCUGCGGGAGGGCCGCUCCGCCGCUGA
rnacentral:rRNA from 1 species